rnacentral:misc_RNA from 1 species
AAGUCGUAACAAGGUUUCCGUAGGUGAACCUGCGGAAGGAUCAUUAACACGUAUCCACGUAUAAAUCUUAUCAACAACUACACUGAACCGCUCUCCCUGUUUCCCGAUCUCGUCGCUGUCCUUCACUGAUUAUGGUGGGUCCCUGUUCUGUCAAAGGUUCAGUGUGGCAUAUCAGGUCGGGCUUUCACUCCUCGAGAGUGUGGCGACGUAACUGGUCGACGGGCUUAUUAACUCUCACUGCGCGUGGAGAAGACUCCAAUCCCAACCACUUUGGGCCGCGGCUGAGGACACCAUACCAAU